rnacentral:rRNA from 1 species
GUGUCAGCCGCCGCGGUAAUACGUAGGAUCCAAGCGUUAUCCGGAUUUAUUGGGUUUAAAGGGUGCGUAGGCGGCCUGUUAAGUCAGGGGUGAAAGACGGUAGCUCAACUAUCGCAGUGCCCUUGAUACUGAUGGGCUUGAAUCGGCUAGAGGUAGGCGGAAUGUGACAAGUAGCGGUGAAAUGCAUAGAUAUGUCACAGAACACCGAUUGCGAAGGCAGCUUACUAUGGCCGUAUUGACGCUGAGGCACGAAAGCGUGGGGAUCAAACAGGAUUAGAUACCCGGGUAGUCC